UACGUAGGGUGCGAGCAUUAAUCGGAAUUACUGGGCGUAAAGGGCGCGUAGGCGGCCUUCUAAGUCGAACGUGAAAUCCCCGGGCUCAACCCGGGAACUGCGUCCGAUACUGGAAGGCUUGAAUCCGGGAGAGGGAUGCGGAAUUCCAGGUGUAGCGGUGAAAUGCGUAGAUAUCUGGAGGAACACCGACGGCGUAGGCAGCGCCCUGGACGACACCUGACGCUGAGGCACGAAAGCUGGGGGAGCAAACGGGA
rnacentral:rRNA from 1 species